rnacentral:rRNA from 1 species
GUCCAUGCCGUAAACGGUGGGCGCUAGGUUUAGGGGACUUCCACGUCUUCUGUGCCGCAGCUAACGCAUUAAGCGCCCCGCCUGGGGAGUACGGCCGCAAGGCUAAACUCAAAGGAAUUGACGGGGCCCGCACAAGCGGCGGAGCAUGUGGAUUAAUUCGAUGCAACGCGAAGAACCUUACCUGGGCUUGACAUACACCAGAUCGCUGCAGAGAUGUAGCUUCCCUUGUGGCUGGUGUACAGGUGGUGCAUGGUUGUCGU